CAAGUAACCCAUUUGUUGGUGGUGGCGAUGGUGUUCAGUCACUCAGUCAUUUCCAACUCUUUGCGACCCCAUGGACUGCCGUACGCCAGGCUUCCCUGUCCUUCAGUAUCUCCCAGAGUUUGCUCAAACUCCUGUCCACUGAGUCAGUGAUGCCAUCCAACCAUGUAUCCUCUGUUGCCUCCUUGUCUUCCGGCCUUCAUUCUUUCCCAGCAUCAGGGUGUUUUCCAAUGGGUCGGCUGUUCACACCAGGUGGCCAAAGUUUUGGGGCUUCAACUUCAGCAUCAGUCCUUCUAAUGAACAUUCAGGGUUGAUUUCCUUUAGGAUUGACUGGUUUGAUCUUCCUGCAAUCCAAGGGACUCUCAAGAGUAUUCUCCAGCACCACAGUUUGAAAGCAUUAAUUCUUCAGCACUCAGCCUUCCUUAUGGUCCAACUCUUACAUCCAUACAUGACUACUGGAAAAACCAUAGCUUUGACUAUAUGACCUUUGUCGGCAGAGUGAUGUCUCUGCCUUUUAAUAUGCUGUUUAGGUUUGUCAUAGUUUUUCUUCCAAGGAGCAAGAGUCUGUUUCAUGGCUCCAGUCACCAUCCACAGUGAUUUUGGAGCUCAAGAAAAUAAAGUCCAUCACUAUUUUCGUUUUCCCCCCAUAUGCAGAUGACAUUACCCUAAUGGCAGAAAGCGAAGAAGAACUAAAGAGCCUCUUGAGGAAGGUGAAAGAGGAGAGUGAAAAAACCGGUUUAAAACUCAGCAUUCAAAAAACUAAUAUCAUGGCAUCCGGCCCCAUCACUUCAUGCCAAGGAGCCCAUUAAGAUGAGUUAAAAUGAAAGUGACAGUUAAGGCUUAACGAUUUAUGCGGCGAGACAAAGCAGACAAGAAACAGAAAGCACUGACCUUCUUCUGUUCUAGGUUCUCCAGGAAUGGUGUGCCGGUCAAGAGUCAGCUGGAACAGCACAAAUCUGGGGGUCAUCUCAUGACUAUGGGAACCCUAAACAAAAGCCUAGUGGCCCUUCCUCCAGACGCCGACCAUUGGUUGACUCCCUCAACACACCCCUGAUUGGUGGCCGCAGACCGACCUCACUGUCCAUCAAAGUUGGCGAGAAAGCUGCAGCGGGUCAGAAUGGCGGCGGCUUCAGUCGGUGCCUACGGACUCCACGAGGCUGCGGUGGUCGCUGAUGCUUAAGGUGCUGGCAGAGCAGCUGCGGCCUGGGUCUGGGCACGUGGGAGCUGUCGCUGGAGCUGGCGACGCGGUGUGGAUGCAGGUCACGUUGGCGGCUGUGAGGCAUGGCUGCAGUGCCAAGUGGGGCCUUCGCGGUGCGCAGCCUGGAGAGCAGGCCUAGUCUCAGGCGUGUCUCUCCUCUUUAUAUUGUUAGUGUCGUGGACUGCAUCUUUAUACUUUGUGCUCCCUUUAAAAUAGGUUUUUGAUGAUUGUUUUGUGCAUUUGCCUUUUAAAUAAUAUAUAUAAGAAAAGGAGGAGUUGUGAACCAAAAUGCGCUUCCCUGGUGGCUGAGUGGUAAAGAAUCCGCCUGGAGAAGGAAACGGCAACCCACUCCACU
ensembl:lncRNA